CAGGUGCUUGUCCUUGCCGAUCUGUACACGUGCGCCUUUCUCUGCAGGCGGCCUCCUUUUCCUGGCUUGUGAUGAGGUUUCCAAUUCUUGUUCCUGACUUCAGAAAGAAGAUUAGAGAGACGCCGGUGUUGUGUUUCCAUAAAAGGAGUGUUUGGAUCUUAGCUCUACUAUUCACCAGCUGCAUGACCUUGCGCCACUGACUCACCUCUGCAUAAAUUUCCUCAUCUCUGAAGUCAUUCUAACUACAUUGGCUUCAUAAAGCUGUUGUGAAGAUCAACUGUAAUAGUGGGAGGGAAAGUCAUCUGUAGAUUUCAAAGUGCAGCAUACCAGAGAUUGGGGCAGUGCGUUAUGUGAUGGCACAGCUAAAGAUGCUUCUCUUCUGGGCAAGCUUUGCACAGCACUUGGGAAGGAUCCUAAUGGCCUUUUGUGAUGACCUGAUUUUUUUCACUGCUAGAGAGGAGUUUGCCGAGAGAAGGGAACUAAAUCUAAAAGAGUGAAUCCAUCUGGAAGCAUUAACCGAAGAAGCCACAGGGGGAUCUGCCAGCCUCCUAUGAAAUAAAAUGCUAUGCGAUACCAAACAGCUAACUGUCCAGAUUUAUUAGAAAAAUCUGGCUGCCCUAGCUUUUUGACAACUUUCUCUUUCCUCUGUGGUCCAGCGUGAAAUAGACUCUCCAGUGUGCCUUGUCAUUGGGAGGAAUUUGAAACUGCCGUGUGUCACUGGUGCAUGGCUGAAGAGAAGGCAACGAAAGGAUGACCACCAUUUCCCCCCGAAAAAACUAUUAGGGAAGGUUAUUGAUUAUUUUCCAAAUACCUUCCACCUUCAUCAGAGGACAUUAUGAUCAUUAAAGAGUCCUGAUUCUCCAACUGCCUUGCCUUCUUGUUUUGGGGAUUCAGAAUCUGGACGUCAUGGCCCAGUCACUGAAUUGGGAAUUUCUAAGUCCCUUGGAGUCCAAAAGAAAGACCAUUCUAGAUGUCAGACUGCCAUCCAGGGCCGUGCAGCAACUGAGUGAUGAGAAAAUACCCCACUAUGCGAUCCUGGCGUGCGCUAAUAUUGAGGGUGAGAGAACAUGCUUAAAUCGUCUUACCAAUUUGACAGGAAUGAUUUCAAAUCUGGCACACUGUGGCCUCACUCCUCGCCAGUGUGCCCCUGGAAGAGCAAGCCCAUGCUACAUGAGUCCCUGCCACUCUCCUGAAUAAGCUUCCAGGCAUUACCUACAUGUUGUGUUCCUGUGGAGGGGUGGCAGUAAUCUCAGCUAAGAUAAACCGGAGCUUCUGUGGAUAAAGCGUAAAGGCAGUGAAGUGUGUGCUGUAAGAUUUAACGCCUCUACAGUGCUUAGAUGCAAGUUGAGCUUGGAAUUCCAGAGGUAGAGCAUUGCUGAUUGGAGGCAUAUUAAGAGAAAAGUACUGUGGAAAUGAGAUAAAACCUUUAUUCUUGCUAUUGACUGUUGUCUUCGUAUGUGUACAGAUUCACAAGAGGAUCUUAUUCACAUCUUUAUUGUGAGAAUUUGGUGGAUUUCCUGAAAUUUGGGGGGUGCCCCUGUGCCUUCAGUCCUCAGAAGUUUCUCACUCUUACAGUAGUCCACAUUCUUCCUCCAGCAAUUUGUCAAAAUUACCAGUUUUGGUGUUCCUACCAGUUUAUAUUCCAGAGCCUUCUUUUCCAGUAGCUUUACAGUGGAGAAAACUGGAAGAAAUCUCCUUAACCAAGUCAUCAAGGCUGACAUCACCAGUAUGUCAUAUUGAUACCAUGUACUUCCUGAUACUAUGUGAUGAGAAAGGUACUUCACUUCUGUGCUAUCCUUUCCCAAGAUACAUAAUCCCAAUUUAAUCAUGAGAAAACAUCAGACAAACCCAAACUGGGGGACAUUCUACAAAGUACGUGACGAUCUUUAAAAUUGUGAAGGUCGUGAAACACAAGGAAACAUUGAGAAAUUGCCAUAAAUUGGAGGCAACUAGGAAGAUAGGAUGACUAAAUGCAGCAUAAUAUUCUGGAUUCAAUCCUGGAACAGAAAAAGGACAUUAGUGGAAAGAUCUGUGAGGCACAUUAUACAAAAUAACUGCUCAGUGCUCUUCAAGAUCAUGAAAGAUGUGGAAGGACUGAUAAACUGUCAUACAUUGGAGGACACUAAAGAGAUAUGACAACUAAAUGCAACAUGGUGUCCUGAAUUUGAUCCUGGAACAGAAAGUGGACAUUACUGGAAAAAUUAGUGAAAUCCAAAUAAAAUCUAUAGUUUAGUUAAUAGUAUUGUACCUAGGUUAAUUUCUUAGUUUUGAUAACUGCACUAUGUUAUGUAAAAUUUUGAUGUGAGAAAUGCUAAACGAAAUGUCUGUGCUGUUUUUACAACUUUUCUGUAAUUUUAAAAUUAUUUCAAGAUCAACUUAAAAGCUAACACCCCCCCUCCCCCCCAGAGAUUCUAAUGUGUAGUCAGGGCUGAGAACUGCUGCUAUCUCAUCCAUUAGGUCCUGCCUCAUGGGUUUCCACUGUGUUCUCCUACUCUCCUCCAUCAAAAUUGCCCUGCUCUGGAGGGAUUUGUUCUCAACUGGCUGCUGGUCUAAAUAGAAUGAGGGAAAAAUAUUUCUACCACUAUCCCAGUGGGAAACUCAUUUCAAAGUUACUAGUAUGGGUACUAUCCCAUCUGCUCUAGCCAGGUGCCAUUGUAUAGUAAGAAUUUCCACCUGAGAGAUUCAUUCCUUUGUGUAAAGCAUCAUUACAUCAUCAUUUUUCAAGCAGCGCUUAUGGAUACUGGAACAUAAAUUCAAUAAGAAUUAUGAGUCAUGUGAAUUGGUAUAUCAGGGCAUUUUCUACAACACCACAAAACACUGGGCAUCUGUGGAGGAGAGAGCUAAAUUUGUCUAGAGUUCGCCACAAUCCAUUUUAACUCUCUAAACAGAGAAGGCCAGUCCUUGGUGGGAGGCAGGAGGCUGGCACUGUGGGUAGUUAGAGCCAGGUAAUUCAAGACAGCACUCAGAGCGUGAUUCUCAGGUCUUAGAGAACUGCCUAAGGUAGAGAGAUGGUCGACAUCUUGGAUAGCGAACUCCUGUUGCUAUGACAGCUUCCGGGAGCACACUUGUCUCAUCGGAGUCUGGGGCUUAUUCAGUUGGCUCCGCCCUCUCCUGGAGUGCUCUGUUUCUUAAAAGGGACUUGCCCUUUAUUUUGCUAGGAUUAGUCAUUAUGGGUUGGUGAAUUGCCCUUUCCCCGCCUCCACCCCAGCUUUUCAUCUGCACCCUAGAAGGGAGGCUUGUGUCUUUGGGCCUGCUGAGAGUCCUCCAAGAGAGCUGAGCUGAGAGAAAAUUAAGAACAGCUGGGGGUAGACACAAUGACAUCAUGUGCCUCUAGCAUAAAAAGCAGCUCACAAACUCUGAUUCAAGGAGAGAAAAAUAAUGGGAACUGGAGAAAGGGGCUGAGACUUGGGAACUAUGCAAAGGCUGAUUACCGGGGAAGACAAGAGAGAUUAAGCUGGGAGCACAAGAGCUAGCUGAGCUAUUGGAACUCUUAGUAAGGACCUAUUAAUCUAGUAUUUAGCACUUGGAGUCUAUAGAUUUAGCAGCUAAAACUAAAUGGGAACAGAUUGGUGAAAGCUGUGAAAAUGCCCUGAGGUAGUCUAUAGCUAGGAGUAAGAUUAAUAAAGGAAAUGGUUAGAAACUGAGCUUUAUUGCAGAGUAACUUGCAAAUUGGACUCUUUGCAUAUACUUUCCUCUUUUCUCAAUUAUUCUAUAGGAAGUUGCAUGGUUUACACAUAAAAGUAAAUUUAUUGGUGUGCAUGUAUCUUUUCAAAUUAGUGUUUUUGUUUUGUUCGAAUAAAUACCCAGGAGUGGAA